UACGUAGGGUGCAAGCGUUGUCCGGAAUUAUUGGGCGUAAAGAGCUCGUAGGCGGUCUGUCGCGUCGGCUGUGAAAACUCGGGGCUCAACUCCGAGCUUGCAGUCGAUACGGGCAGGCUAGAGUUCGGCAGGGGAGACUGGAAUUCCUGGUGUAGCGGUGGAAAUGCGCAGAUAUCAGGAGGAACACCGGUGGCGAAGGCGGGUCUCUGGGCGAUACUGACGCUGAGGAGCGAAAGCGUGGGGAGCGAACAGG
rnacentral:rRNA from 1 species